rnacentral:rRNA from 1 species
GGGCCCUACGGGAGGCAGCAGUGGGGGAUAUUGCACAAUGGGGGGAACCCUGAUGCAGCGACGCCGCGUGGGUGAAGAAGCGCCUCGGCGCGUAAAGCCCUGUCAGCAGGGAAGAAAAUGACGGUACCUGAAGAAGAAGCCCCGGCUAACUACGUGCCAGCAGCCGCGGUAAUACGUAGGGGGCAAGCGUUAUCCGGAUUUACUGGGUGUAAAGGGCGUGGAGGCGGGGAGG